UACGUAGGUGGCAAGCGUUGUCCGGAGUUAUUGGGCGUAAAGCGCGCGCAGGCGGUGCGGUAAGUCUCUGGUGAAAGCGCUCGGCUUAACUGGGCGAGGGCCGGGGAGACUGCCACGCUGGAGGGGAGCAGAGGCGAGUGGAAUUCCGGGUGUAGUGGUGAAAUGCGUAGAGAUCCGGAGGAACACCAGUGGCGAAGGCGGCUCGCUGGGCUCUAACUGACGCUGAGGCGCGAAAGCGUGGGGAGCGAACCGG
rnacentral:rRNA from 1 species